AGGCCCAAAACUUUUUGAGAAAGGUACAUAUGAAAUUCGGUUGGUUUGUACUGGAGAAAGGAAGGGACUAGGGUGAGUGGGAUGAACCUCUGGAAGCUGGCGUACACGUCAGCCAAGCAUUCCUGAACCAUUGUCGUGUCGUGUGUGUUCCUUAACCUUCCGUUGUAUAUCGUUUAUGUUUCUGUGUGUGUCUCUCGCCCCUGCUUGAUUUGCUAUUCUAAUCGAAUUAGGGGUUUCGUCUCAUUAACUUUUCUCUCGGCACGUCCAAAUCCAAUUCAAUGUCUCUCCCUGAUUCUCCUGUGCCCGAUAAUAUCGAGACCGAUCCUUCUGAAGACGAGGAAGAAGUCGAAGAAGAAAUAGAGGAGGAGGAAGCUGAAGAAGAAGUGGAAGAAGAGGAGAUUGAGGAAGAAGUAGAAGAGGAAGAUGUUGAAGAAGAGGUAGAGGAGGAAGAGGUUGAGGAAGUAUAUGAGGAAGAAGUGGAGGAGGAAGAGGUCGAGGAAGUAGAGGAGGAAGAGGAAGUGGAAGAGAUGGAGUUAGAAGAAGAGGAAGAGGAAGAACAAGAAGUAGAGGAAGUGGAAGUAGAAGAAGAAGAAAUAGAGGGAGAAGAAGUAGAAGAAGAAGAAGAAGAAGUAGAAGUUGAGGUAGAGGAAGAGGAAGAGGAAGAGGAAGAGGAGGGAGAACAAGAAGUAGAAGAAGGGGAGGAAGAAGUCCAAGAGGAGGAAGGAGAAGAAGAGAAACAAGAACAAGCAGUGGAGAAUAAGAAAGAAGAGCAACAACAGCAACAAAGAGAAGCAGUGGAGGAGAAGAAGGAAGAGCACCCACAACAACAAGAAAAAGUAACGAAGGAGAAGAAGGAAGAGCAACGACAGCAACCAGAAGAAGCAGUGGAGGAGAAGAAGAAAGAGCAAGAACAGCAACAAGAAGAAGCUGUGGAGGAGAAGAAGAAAGAGCAACAAUUGCAACAAGAAGCAAUGAAAGAGAAGGAGGGACAACAAAAAGGAGUAGAAGCAGUGGGGGAGGACAGAUUGGCGUUGACAGGUUCUCCACCCGAUGCUGAUGAGGGUCCGAAAGAUUUGAGCGUACAUAUGGAGUCUAAGGAGCAAGACAAAAACUUGGGGCCAGAUUAUUCUGUGGCUGAAAACCCUGAAGUAAUUCCACCAUCUAGUGUGCAUUGCAUGGAAGAGAAUGAUGCCAUGCUCAAAAUAUCUGUUCCUUCAUGUGAGAUACUGACAUCGAAAAAGGAAGAGCUUCACCUGAAGUAUGACAUUUCAAGUCAUUCGAAGUCAACAGAAAAUCUGACUAAUGUUGAAAAUUGUAGAAGUCAAGGACUAGAAGUUGACGGUGAAAAUGCUGGAUCCCUUCUGCAGAAGGAAACACAAGAUGGAUACAGUGAGUUAGGUUGCAAUAGCAAGGCUAGUUUAUGUCAUGAUAAUGAUAUUAAUUCCAGGGUCAGGGACACCAAGUCAUCUAGUGUCACUGGACAAGAUAUGGUCAUUGGCCUCCUUCCAAAAGAUUGUAUUGUUGAGGAUGCUAGUGGUGAUCAGAAUUCUAGGAACAAUAUCAAGCAGUUAGAGAUGGAGUCAAGGGAUGAUAUGAAGCAAACACUAUCAAGCAGGACUAGAAGUAUGUCUCCGAGUGCUGAGAUUAAGAACAGAAACAAACGACCAAAAAUUAUAUGUGACUUUUUUGCUAAGGGAUGGUGUAUCAGAGGUAGUUCUUGUAGCUUUCUUCAUACAAUAGAUACUGUGGAUAAGACAGAUCAGGAGGCUGAAGCUGACUUAGUUACUACUCAUCAGAAGAGAAAAUUGAAAGUGGAAGAAGGUGUUAGGGAAAAUGUUCAGAGAAUAAGGAUGAAUGAGCAGGAACAAACUCCUAGUUGGCAUCCAUCUCAAGAAAAACAGAACUUUACGCCGAGGGACAACUUGUUUCCAGAGAAUAGAUUUGCAUUUAGUUCAACAAGCAAUUGUUUCAAUCCAAAGCAGGAUGGAAUGGCUACUCUUCGGAACCAACAUAUGUACAAAGGAUAUGCUUCCACUCUUCUGAGCCAUUCACCAAAUUCAAGCCUGGUUACUCAAUUUCCAGCUUCAAGUAUGUCACUCUCUCAGCGGAUUUCUUCUCAAUCAGCAUGUUCAUUGCCUUUUAGUUCAUCUCUGGGGGCUGGUAAUCUGAACGCUCAAACGCUCACAUCUAAGUCCACUUUCUCUGGUUCAGGGCGGGAAGAUUUUCCUCUGGUUAGUUCUUCCAGCGUUCCAUCUUAUCCCACUGGAUAUAAAUCAAAAAUCUGUUCUUAUGAUUGGGAACCUUCUGUACCCUUCCGGCCAUCCUUUUUUAUUACUCCCAUGAAUGUAUCAUCUCCUGCAGAUCUUUACGACCCUCUUCGAGAUAGCAUAGAGAUACCUAAUAUAGGGGAUGGGUCUUUGAAGGCUUCCCUUUUAAUUCAAGGAUCUAACGUACUGGCUUCAUCACAGGCUCCAAUAUAUGGUGAUUCUGCUGGGAUUGGGAAAUACACGUCCAGUGUUAAUGAUGACAAAAGUUCUGUAUCUUCUCAUAAUAAAUUUUAUGAAAAUGAGCCAAACAAAAAUUCUGUUCCUCAUGAAAAAGAUUAUCUUCCAAAUGAAACAGAGAUAACGUCGGGAACUUAUUCAAACUAUCAAAAUGGUAAAAUUGGCACAGGACAAAAUACCUUUGACGUUGCAGAUAGUACUAAAAAGGAGAGAGAAAUGACUGAACAUGAUGCUAGACGACAUGGUGAAGGAUCAGGGCAUAAAACAAAGAGAGGAGACAGGGAUAAGAAAAAUCAUGAAAUAGAUGUUGACUUUCAGAUGGAUGGCAGCAUGCAGAAGGAACCAAAGGCACUAAAAAUGUUACGUGCAGCUCUUGUUGAUCACGUAAAAGAGUUGUUAAAACCAGUUUGGCAUGAGGGUCGUCUUAGCAAGGAUGCACAUAUUAUGAUAGUCAGAAAAUCAGUUGACAAGGUUGUUAGCACCAUAGAGCCCCAUCAGAUUCCUACCAUAGAUACUGCCAAGCAAUAUGUUUCUUCAAGUCGGGCAAAAAUUGCAAAGCUGGUCAAUGGAUACGUCAACAAAUAUGGCAAAUCUUGAUAUGCAAGCCAAAACACCUUUUUUGUAAAGUUCCUGAUCAAUUGCCUGGUCGUAGUUCAUGAAAAGUUCUGUCUGAGGCUCUCUUUUUCAUAAAGAAGGCAAAGAACACUGCAAGCCGAGAAGAUCUAUGAAAUCUGACUGCAAGCAACAUAAUAGAGAAUGUGUCUGUUGACAACAUUAAGUGAUAGCAAUGUCUUGGGAUAUCAAUACAAAGAACAGACUGCAAAGAAAUCUGAUUUGUUUUGGAUGGCGAGUGCUUGUGGCCGAAGUUGACCAGUGGAAAUAAGCUUGUCAGCUGGAGUGAUCUUGAUUGCACUGACAGCAGAAUUCAAGUUUGCUUUAGUGCUUGUAAAUUCAAAUUCGGUGUCAUUCUUGCUUACCAUGUAGUGUUCAGCCCGGUUAGGAGAAGGGGGCUUUGGCUGAUGGUCUUGAAUAGAAGAAGAAACAAGGCCACUAAAAGAGAUCGAGUCCAAGAAUAUGCAAUGCUAUCAUACGCAACAUUGAAGGUGACCUUGUUUCCUUCCAUUGAUUUGUAACCAAGACGGCUAUGUUGGUUGAAACCUUGUAUAUAUAUGCGGAAACAAGCCAGACUUUGGGACCUCACUAAUUCAGUUGGAAUGUGGUAUGCCGGGUCGAAGUUGUCAUUGUUAUUUUUAUUCUUUUUUGUUGUUCGCUUUUUGGCGUUGGGGAUACGCCCAUACGCAUAUUUAAUUUUAGGGGUAGUCCUGAGAAGUUAACAUGUUGGAUCAAGAAAGAAUGAUAAAUCAUAAUUGGUCAACAUAGAUAAAGUUACACAGGGGGCAUGAUCUGUACAUUACCUUUUAUCUAUCAACAACAUUCUUUGAUUUAUGAUUUAUGAAGUUGCCAAUUGAACUUUAGUUUGUGUA